rnacentral:lncRNA from 1 species
AUACUUUAUAUACAGAGAUAUGAAAAAUUGUGCUCUAUAUGUGUAAUAAGGAUUGUAAUGCGAAAAAGAAUCUCAACUAGGCCAAAAACAAGAGAAUCUAGGAUUAGGAAAGAAAAGCACAGGGACCAAAUCAAUGCUUUUCCUUCUUCUGUUUAUCUAAUAAAUGCAUUUAUUGUUAAAAAAAAAAAGAAAGAAAGAAAAAGAAAUUAGGAUACCUUGAAAAAAAAAUGAAAGAAAAGUGACACUACCCAGUGAGGCUUUGAGGAUACAUGCUUACAUGCUAAGAGAAAGCUCAAAAACAGACUUGCUACACUUUGAAUACCUGCACGCCUGCAUUUGGACGCGUCCCAAAGUUGAGAGACUUCAGAAAGUAGAGUCAAAGUACAACAGAUAUGCCUCACAGAACCCCAUGUUUGCAAUAACUAUGCUUUCUGAAUAAAGCAUUUGAGCAUAUGGCAAAAUGAUUAGCAGUGAGUGUGCUUCCUCAGCAUCCAGAAGCUCAUGUUUCUACAUCAGUGUGUGAUCACUCUGGUAGUAACAGAAGUAUUGGAUGAAUGGUUGAAACAAUAACAAACAAGCUAUAUUAAACCAUUUAAAUUAAAAAUAAGGGCAAAGAAAAUACAUCUGCAGGCUCCAUGCAAGAUAAUAAUCACUCAUUUUUCUCAUUUUUUAUGUGACAUGCAGAAGGAUGCUUUAUAUGUUUAUUUGAUUCCUUCUAUGUGGGCUCAAUAAAAUAAAGUACUAAAGGAUUAUGUUUUCAGCAGAAAAAUAAGGUUUUUAUCUUAUGCUAUAUGCACAUAAAUUUGCAGAUGAGGUAAAUUUCUCCUGUGUGUAGAAAAGCUUAAAUAGAGUGUCAUCCUGAAGUAUUUGCUUGCAUGACAGACCAAUUUCAAUAGCUGUUAUUGUAAACUUGUUAUCACAUCCUUCAUAUCUCCUGGAGGUACUUCAAUGUAGAUGUCAGGAACAAGAACAGUGUUCUAG